rnacentral:rRNA from 1 species
UGUGUCAUACGAGACUGCCGGUAAAAGCCGGAGGAAGGUGAGGAUGAUGUCAAGUCAGCAUGACCUUUAUAUCCAGGGCUACACACACGCUACAAUGGUCUGUACAAUGGGUAGCCAAGCCGCGAGGCGAGCAUCCUGAAAGCAGGCCUCAGUUCAGAUUGCAGUCUGCAACUCGACUGCAUGAAGCCGGAGUUGCUAGUAACCGCAGGUCAGCAAUACUGCGGUGAAUACGUUCCCGGGUCUU